rnacentral:rRNA from 1 species
AUUGAACGCUGGCGGCAGGCCUAACACAUGCAAGUCGAGCGAGCGGCGGACGUGUGAGUAAUGUAUGGGGAUCUGCCCGAUAGCGGGGGAUAACUACUGGAAACGGUGGCUAAUACCGUCUUAUAUCGGAUGAACCCAUAGGGGAGUAGCUAGUAGGUGGGGUAAAGGCGCACCUAGGCGACGAUCUCUAGCUGGUCUGAGAGGAUGAUCAGCCACACUGGGACGGAGACACGGCCCAGACGCCUACGGGAGGCAGCAGUGGGGAAUAUUGCACAAGGGGCGCAAGCCUGAUGCAGCCAUGCCGCGUGUAGGAAGAAGGCCUUAGGGUUGUAAAGUACUUUCAGCGGGGAGGCGUUACCCGCAGAAGAAGCACCGGCUAACUCCGUGCCAGCAGCCGCGGUAAUAC